rnacentral:rRNA from 1 species
ACGGGAGGCAGCAGUGGGGAGUAUUGGGCAAUGGGCGAAAGCCUGACCCAGCAACGCCGCGUGAAGGAAGAAGGUUUUCGGAUUGUAAACUUCUCUUAUCAGGGACGAAGAACGUGACGGUACCUGAUGAAUAAGCCACGGCUAACUACGUGCCAGCAGCCGCGGUAAUACGUAGGUGGCAAGCGUUAUCCGGAUUUACUGGGUGUAAAGGGCGCGUAGGCGGGGAUGCAAGUCAGAUGUGAAAUCCAUGGGCUUAACCCAUGAACUGCAUUUGAAACUGUAUCUCUUGAGUGCUGGAGAGGUAGAUGGAAUUCCUUGUGUAGCGGUGAAAUGCGUAGAUAUAAGGAAGAACACCAGUGGCGAAGGCGAUCUACUGGACAGUAACUGACGCUGAGGCGCGAAAGCGUGGGGAGCAAACAGGAUUAGAUACCCUGGUA